UAGGGAAUCUUCCGCAAUGGACGCAAGUCUGACGGAGCAACGCCGCGUGAGUGAAGAAGGAUUUCGGUUCGUAAAACUCUGUUGUUAGAGAAGAACAGCGCAUAGAGUAACUGUUAUGCGUGUGACGGUAUCUAACCAGAAAGCCACGGCUAACUACGUGCCAGCAGCCGCGGUAAUACGUAGGUGGCAAGCGUUGUCCGGAUUUAUUGGGCGUAAAGCGAGCGCAGGCGGUCAAUUAAGUCUGAUGUGAAAGCCCCCGGCUCAACCGGGGAGGGUCAUUGGAAACUGGUUGACUUGAGUGCAGAAGAGGAGAGUGGAAUUCCAAGUGUAGCGGUGAAAUGCGUAGAUAUAUGGAGGAACACCAGUGGCGAAGGCGACUCUCUGGUCUGUAACUGACGCUGAGGCUCGAAAGCGUGGGUAGCAAACAGG
rnacentral:rRNA from 1 species